ACCAUGAGCUUCCUGAUGUGUAUGAGAACAGCACAUGUAAUGGCUUCCAACUGAAUGUCUCCAUUGCUAAAGCUAAUGAAAAUCCCCGACCAGAUGUUGAAAUGUCUUACAAACUUACUAUCAGAGUGAGGGCUCUUCAGGGAGAGCGAAGAAUGGUGAUUCUGGAUAUAGGCUUGCCCACCGGCUUUGAGCCUGAAAACUCUGACUUAG